CACCGUCAACGCAGAGUUCUCGGCUGACCAUCCAGGAGCCUUAAUGUAGCGACGAUUAAUGUACAGUGACUAGGAAGGUUUAGACUAGAUGUACUUACACCCAUCACGCACUAGCGCUACAUCAUACAUAAACAUUAGAUAGCCCCAAGGUAGAACCUCAACCAGAACCGAGCUCAAGUGCAAAAAUAGAUAGCUAUUGAGCUUCUGCUUAAAUUCAUUUAGAGACGAAGACGACACCACCUCGGUAGAAAGCGAAUUCCAUAAGUAAAUACCCGUUAGGUGAAAGGACUGGUGGUAAGUCUCAGUUCUGUGAAUGGGAAUUUGGAAAGUACUAGGCAGUGCCAGCCGUGACGAUCGUCUAAUCGAGAGCUCGGCUCUGACAAAGAUCUCCGAGAGGUAGCUAGGAGACAUACCAUAAUGUAUCUUGAACAUUUCGAUGCCAAGGAAAUAGAGACGUCGAUUUCUAACAGACAGCCACCCUAAUUAGUGACGGUAAGGAGUGAUAUGUUCGUCUCGACUCAAAUUAAAGAUAAACCGAAUCGUACAAUUGAUAAGCCUCUGCAGUUUUGUGUUAAGCUCAUCAGUAACAUCGGUAUAAACAAGAGAGCAGUAGUUUAACAGAGGCCAAAUCAAUGCAGACACAAGUUUUACACGCAAUUGUGAUGAUAAGGAGUUUUUGUGAAACUUAAGCUUGUGCAGCGUGAAGUGUACCCGCUUAGAAAUAUGAGCGACGUGGCCAUUCCAAGAUAGAUCGGAGCUCAUAAUGACACCCAGAUUCCGAGCCUGAGAGACAAACGGAAUAGAGGAACCACUGACAGAGAUGAGAGGUAAAUCGUGUAGAUCAAUUUGGUCGACGUAACGCUUGCUACCGAAUAUUAAUACUUUGGAUUUCUUAAGAUUGAGAAACAAUCCAUUUGUGGUCGCAUAUUCAGAGAUGACUCCGACAUCAUGGGCCACCAACUGCAAAGCAACAUUCAACUGACUAAAGAGACACUUACGGUAAAUCUGAGUGUCGUCAGCAAAAAUCAAGCGUUGAGUAAAUCUAAGAAACGCACCAAUGUCAUUAAUGAAAAGGGAAAAGAGGAGCGGUCCCAAUACUGAUCCCUAAGGCACGCCAGAGGUGAUGGAUAGCCACUCGGAGAAUUCACCAACCAGAUCAACGACCGCCUGAGAGCGACCAGUGAGGUACGAAAAAAUUAAUUUGAGGGCAAGAUCAGAAAACCCUAGUUUCCUCAGUUUAGACAGAAGCAAAGGAUGAGAGACAGUGUCAAAAGCCUUGCUGAAGUCAAAGAGGACAAGGAUCAAUACCUCACCUGCAUCAACGCUACUCUUAAUAUCGUGAGAUAGUUUAAGAAGGGCAGACUGGGUAGAGUAACCCUUACGAUAACCAGAUUGACGGUCGUCGAGAAUAUGGUGCAAAUUGAUAAAAUCAACGAUUUGGCGGUGAAGGAUUUUUUCAAACAGCUUGGAAAGUUCACACAAGUUGGCAAUAGGUCUCGUUUCAGAGGGAGAGGUAGGUGAUCUAACUUUAGAGAGAGGACGCAGUAUAGCACGUUUCCACAGAGAGAUGGGAAAUAACCCAGAUUGAGACAGCAGUUGAAAAAAGAGGUCAAAAGGUUACUAAUAUCAGGAAAGGCCAAGGCAAUAGGAAACAGAGGUAAUUGAUCGUAACCUGAGGCGAAGGAAAGAGAAGGUGAAGAAACCAUCAAGGAGCGAAGGUUAUCGUGGGAUAUUUCGGUGAAACUGAAAAGUGGUUCGUCAGGCAUAGUGGAUGAAAUAAUGUUGGAGAAUUGAGAUUGUGAACAGGAAGGAUAACGAUUUGAGACAGAGGAAUAAUGGGUAUUCAAGAGAUCACGUGAAAAAAGUCAGACCAAAAUCAGACGGGAAAGAUGUAGAGAGCUUAGAAGUAAGAGUCUGAACGAACGCUUCCUCGUCAAAUCUCUUGUAGCAGCGACGAACUAAGGUGCGAUUAGUGAAGGACGGAACCUUGAAUGAAUAGGAUAACUCAAUGAGAUCGUGACCAUUGAUAAAAGGAGCGUCAUACUUUCAAAAAAAUAAAACUUUAUCCAAGUUGUCAACUAUGAAAACGUCUAACUAUGAGUCUGAGGAGCCGGUGUGAAAAGUUGACCGCGAUUCAACAAUAUUAAGCGACAACUGUGAGACAAUGCCUCUAAGGUGAUUAGAUUCGUAUGAUGAUGCAAGGAGGUUACAAUUCAAAUCACCCGUAAUAAUGAUGUUCUUAUAAUUAUGUGUAAAUGUAGUAAGCACGUCAAUGUAGUUACUGAAAUUUUUGCCUUUAGGUCUGCGGUACAUGGUGGUAAAUAGGAGAGGCUCGCGCGUGCCAUAACGGAUGUCGAGAAUGAGAUAUUCGGGAGCAUUCAAGAAAGCCGAAGGCGACGACGCCAGAACGCGCGCCCGCAAUGAUUCAUGCACGUAACAAGCAACACCACCUCCCUCCCUGCCCUCUCUGUUUACACGCAACAAAUAAUAACCAGAGAUACGCACUAGAUCAUCAGAAAUGUGUGAGUGAAGCCAGGUCUCAGAAAUCGAGAUAAUGUGAAAAAAGUUAAACGAUAAAAAGGCCUGAAUUGACUCAAGAUGAGCAGGAAGGGAGCUAGCAUUGAAGUGAGCAAUCGCGAGACAAUCAUGCGAAGCAGACGGAACACGGCCAGAAUCAACAUUGAGUCACUGAAGCUCAGCAAGAUCAGCCUCAGUAGUGAUAAGAAUUGGAGAUUGACCAUGGUCUUUGCGGACAAAGAUCUGGCCAUCUCUGCACCAUACGUGCUUAAAAGAUGACUGUUUAACCUUUACGCGAGUCCGGCGCAACAAAUUAUAAAUAUCCGUAGGAAGUAGCUCAUUUAUAUAAAUGUGCCCGGGGACAUCUCUAGAGAAAACUUCGCGGACAGUCAGUCGACGCUUACGGCGCAUAGUCAGUCGACGCUUACGGCGCACCAAGAAUAUAGUCGCGAAUCUCUCGCGACUUAAGUAUAACAAUAAUUGAUCGUGGUUUAGCAGCACGAUCAGAGGCGGAGACAGUGCUAGGCGCCACGUCACGCAUCGCAGACACGUUGCUAACCCCCACCUCUCGAGCCUCAAGAACAUCGGAAACAAGCUGCGAUGUACCCAGCGCGCGAAAAACACUAGUAACGAGCUGUUCAGAUGUGUCGGUUAAAGAACCUAGUAUCCCGGAAAUGAUAAUAUCGGAAGUUCGUGAGACUCGAGACGAAGGAGAUCGCGGAAGACGAGAACGACUCUGGGUGCGUUCCGAGUUACGCAUGAAGCGCGUAGACUGCAUAAAAAGUCGUUCCGAUUUAGCCAAUGCGCGCAUUGGGAGCGCUUUGGUAGCGCAGAGAAUUUCCUAGAUUGUACUGACCGUACUGAAUUCUUAGCACUCCUCUCAGCGCAUUGACUACUUCUAUUUCGACUUGAGGCAGUUGAUGCGUCUGAUGCGUUUAUGCGGUCUAUGCGCUUCAUGUGUAAUUCGGAACGAACAAUCGUUCUUCCAAUAAGUCCGUUAACCUGUCCCUUCGCAAUGGAACAGCAACUGCAAGAAUUUCCGGUUAUAAUAGAAGAAACUAACGAAGUAAUAACGUUAUAAUUAAGUACAGAAGAUGUGGAGAAAGCAAGGGAUGGUAAAGUUAAUGUAUUAUUUUACAUGGAUUUAUUUAAUGUAUAGGUUAUACGUUAGUUUAACCAUUGUGUUGUUUUUCAUAGACUCAGAAUUUUUGCGGGACUUUGUUGCAAAGGCACAAGGCGUAAAUAACAAUAAUAUCGAGCCUGUAACUGAACUGGAAGAUUCAACAAGUGAAAAUGCUGUUGACAAAAACAAUGCCGAUGAGUCAAAAACAUUCGUAUGGCUGGACAAAGCGGUACUUUUAUUAAUUGAACUGCAUAGAGAAAAGGAGGAAGAGUUUUCAAGUGGUUUCAAGCGUAGCAACAAAAUUUGAACUGAAAUUGCUGCUGAGAUGAACAAAGCCAACCCAGCCUACGAAAUAACAGCACAGCAAUGUUCAUCAAAAAUGGCUGGCUUGAAGCGGACGUAUAAAAAUAUUGUUGAUCUGAAUAAGAAGAGCGGCAAUAAUGGAAAUUCAUGGGCAUUUUUUCGGUUAUGAAUUCAUUAUUUGAUGACAAAGCGUCCAUUAGGCCUCUUGCAAUUGCUACAAGUGACGGUCCAUCGGACCCAAAUCAGGAAGGAUCAUCGUUAUCAAUGAUUUCAUUUCCUACAUCGAAAAGUCCGCCGAAAAAGAGAAAACGAAUGGAAAACGUUAUGGAAGAGUUCUUGGCCAAUAUUGCGAUAGAAAAAGAAGAAAAAAAAAGAAGAAAUGAAAAGACAAGAAAAGAUACGCGAAGAAAGAAGAAUACAACGUGACAAAAGGCAUGAGGAUCAAAUAAGCGUACAGAAGUCAUUAGUCUCCAUAUUAGGACAAUUUAUUUAAAAAAUGUAGUUUGUACUCUUCUUAAAAGAAAUGUUUAAAGUUAAGCGUUACUAGUUGGAAGCUUUAAAAGAUUUAUUUUAUAUUAAUUACUUUAUUUUAAUUACGAGUUUUAAAUUGGUUUAAGUGGGUUGUAAUUCUCACAAAGUAUGUUACGUUAUGCUUACGAGCAAUAGGUCUCGCCUAUCAAAGGAUAUCUUUUAAACGCUUUUUUAAAAAAUUUUAAGAAAAAAUUAUUUUUAUUUUUUAAAAUGUGAAAGUACAAACAUUUAAAAUACUAGUUAUUUUGUUCACAUUUCAAAAUACACGAAAUGUACGACUGAAAUUCAUAAGACUGAAUAAUAUAAUAGAAAUAAAACCAAAAAUUAAACAUAACUAA